rnacentral:rRNA from 1 species
GAUGAACGCUGGCGGCGUGCCUAAUACAUGCAAGUCGAGCGAACGGACGAGAAGCUUGCUUUUCUGAUGUUAGCGGCGGACGGGUGAGUAACACGUGGAUAACCUACCUAUAAGACUGGGAUAACUUCGGGAAACCGGAGCUAAUACCGGAUAAUAUUUUGAACCGCAUGGUUCAAAAGUGAAAGACGGUCUUGCUGUCACUUAUAGAUGGAUCCGCGCUGCAUUAGCUAGUUGGUAAGGUAACGGCUUACCAAGGCAUCGAUGCAUAGCCGACCUGAGAGGGGGAUCGGCCACACAGGAACGGAGGCACGGUCCAGACGCCUACGGGAGGCAGCAGUAGGGAAUCUUCAGCAAUGGGCGAAAGCCUGACGGAGCAACGCCGCGUGAGUGAUGAAGGUCUUCGGAUCGUAAAACUCUGUGAUUAGGGAAGAACAUAGGUGUAAGUAACUGUGCACAUCUUGACGGUACCUAAUCAGAAAGCCACGGCUAACUACGUG